AAACCUACCUGGCAGGAGAGAUACCAUGAUCACGAAGGUGGUUUUCCCAGGAUGACACUUACCCAUUGUACUCUGGAUGUGCUAACCCCUCCAAUUUCCCCAAAUGUGAGAACUUGACUCCAUAGUUUUUGGUAGUGGGGAACUGUGUUCAUGCUCCUUU